rnacentral:lncRNA from 1 species
UCUCUCUCUCUCUCUCUCUGUCUCUCUCUUCGACGCUGAUUUCACCUCGCCGAGCUCUUGCGUGAUUCGGCGGUCACUCUUCCACGUUGAGUUGCUCGCCGAAUUUCACUCUUCACUGUGUAUGAUUUCUUUUCUGAUUUCAAUGUUGUGCCCUGAUUUUAUUCUAAUUUUACUCUUUUCUAUCUUUUCCUUAUUUUGAUCUAAUUUCACUUUAAAAUUGAAAUUUGUAUGCAUGUCUCAUGAUUUAGCUUCAAUAUGCAGCAGUGAGAUUGAGAUUUAAAUUGAAUUUGAUUGUUCUUGGUUAGGAGUAAUUUUUCAAGUUUAUGGUUGAUUUGUAUUAGACUGAUUGGAGUUAGUUUAUCAAUGUAAUGUAACCAUACAUUUUUAUGCUACAUCCUUGUUUUGUUGACGUAAAUUGAUGAACUCAAUACUGAUAAUCAAUUACUCUCAUAUUGCUGUAGCUGAAUUCUGACCAAGUUAUUGCUGUUGGCCCUGGCCUUCAUGGUAAGGUAAGGAUGGAAAACUCCUUCCAUUGGCUUGGUUUUGUUUAUGAUGCAACUAGAAACAUAAUUAGGACUAACCAUACUACUCUCUCCGUCCCAAUUUGAUUGACACAGUUGACUGUUUCACGCAUGCCGAUGCACAACUUUGACGAUUAAUAUUUUUAAUUGUAUAAUAGUAAAAAUUAUAAAAAUUUGACAUUUUGAAAAUACUCAUCGAGACGAAUCAAACAACAUCUUAUAUGCUAAUAUUUAUUUUUGUUUAUUAGUAGAAAAAUAAGGUCAAAGCAACAUGUGUGAAUAGUGCACAACAGUCAACUGUGUCAAUCAAAUUGGGACGGAGGGAGUACUAACAAAGCUUUUCUGCAUCAUGGAGGAAUUACCACUAUUGCUUGAAGUAGCACCUGUUUUGUUUCUAGUUUGAUAAUAGACCUGUUAUGUCUUAUAUAGUAUUCUUAGAACAACUCUCAUCAGUAUUUUAUUUUUAGUUUAAUUUUUAGUUUAAUUUUGUGAUUCUAUUUUUUUAGAUUAACAAAAGCUUAUGUAUUAAUCUAUGGAAUGAAAAGAACAUUAGCUGAAGUUAACUUGUUAAUAUGGUACCCUUAAUUCUUACUUACAUUGUCUCCAUGAUUGGUGUAAGUUUUAAUAGAGUUAUUAUUAUGCUUUUUAUGUUUAAGAUUAAUUAAGCCUUACAUGUGUUCAAAUAAAUAGUUAUUUUGCUCUGUUUUGCUUCCUUAUUGAUCUGUUUUGCUUGUUCACAAAGAAUAUGAGAGUUUAUAAAAAAGGUCAAUGUCUCUUAUGAAUUUUCAUUUGGUUCUAUAAACAUGUCUUGUUAAGGGUGCAGCUGUUGGUAUAACAAUAGCAGGAAUACUUGGACUUGUAUUAGUAUUUUGUUCUCUGUAUAUAUGUCAGAUACUUCCAAAAGAAGGAAGAAGAGAAAACUAAACUUCCCAAAACUUCUAUGUGAAUUUGAAACUAUUAUCCUGCUUAUUUUAUUUUUGUCACAGUUGAUAAAAAUACUAAUGGUCAAACAGGAGCCAAAUUCAUCGUGGUAGACAAAUCACCCGAGUUUUCGUACAAAGAACUAGCCAAUGCUACUGAUAACUUCAGUUUGGCUAACAAUUGCAAUAGAAAAGUAAGUUGUGUUCAAUUACACAGAAAACUGCAAUAGAAAAGAUGAAGAUCCAAGCAACAAGAGAAUUUCUUGAUGAACUCAAAGUCUUAAACACGUGUUCAUCACUAGAACCUGGUAAAUUUUCAAGCAUAAAAC